GACGAACGCUGGCGGCGUGCUUAACACAUGCAAGUCGAACGGAAAGGCCCUGCUUUUGUGGGGUGCUCGAGUGGCGAACGGGUGAGUAACACGUGAGUAACCUGCCCUUGACUUUGGGAUAACUUCAGGAAACUGGGGCUAAUACCGGAUAGGAGCUCCUGCUGCAUGGUGGGGGUUGGAAAGUUUCGGCGGUUGGGGAUGGACUCGCGGCUUAUCAGCUUGUUGGUGGGGUAGUGGCUUACCAAGGCUUUGACGGGUAGCCGGCCUGAGAGGGUGACCGGCCACAUUGGGACUGAGAUACGGCCCAGACUCCUACGGGAGGCAGCAGUGGGGAAUAUUGCACAAUGGGCGGAAGCCUGAUGCAGCAACGCCGCGUGCGGGAUGACGGCCUUCGGGUUGUAAACCGCUUUCGCCUGUGACGAAGCGUGAGUGACGGUAAUGGGUAAAGAAGCGCCGGCUAACUAUGUG
rnacentral:rRNA from 1 species